rnacentral:rRNA from 1 species
ACAAUGGAGAGUUUGAUCCUGGCUCAGGAUGAACGCUAGCGGCAGGCUUAAUACAUGCAAGUCGAGGGGCAGCAGCUUUGUAGCAAUACAGAGGCUGGCGACCGGCAAACGGGUGCGGAACACGUACAGAACCUUCCUUCGAGCGGGGAAUAGCCCGGAGAAAUCCGGAUUAAUACCCCAUAGUAAAUUGAAAAGGCAUCUUUUUAAUUUUAAAGAUUUAUCACUUGAAGAUGGCUGUGCGGCUGAUUAGGUAGUUGGCGGGGUAACAGCCCACCAAGCCUUCGAUCAGUAACUGGUGUGAGAGCACGACCAGUCACACGGGCACUGAGACACGGGCCCGACUCCUACGGGAGGCAGCAGUAAGGAAUAUUGGUCAAUGGACGCAAGUCUGAACCAGCCAUGCCGCGUGGAGGAU